AUGGAAGGGGAGAGGGAGAGAGCAAAGGACGAGAUAUAUGGUUCUUGGGGUAGUAGCUUUCGUUACCUAUUCAAUUUCAAAGCAGAGAUGGAACUUAGAUCCCCUGGAAGCAUUGUUGAGGUCGAUACUAAAAUAACAAAAGGUAAAGUUUACUUUCACAGAUUCUUUAUGGCACUUAAGCCUUGUGUAGAUGGAUUCCAUGCUGGAUGUAGGCCUUAUCUUAGCAUUGACUCAACUGCAUUGAAUGGAAAGUGGAAUGGUCAUUUAGCUGCAUGCACAGCUUUAGAUGGACAUAAUUGGAUGUUUCCUCUUGCAUUUGGUUUUAUUGAGGUUGAAGAUGAAGAUAAUUGGACAUGGUUCAUGACACAGUUGCAUAGAGCAUUAGGUCCAAUUUCAAAGCUUGCUAUAUGUACUGAUGCCUGUAAAGGCCUAGAAAAUGCAGUUAAGAAAGUUUUCCCUCAAGCAGAACAGAGGGAGUGUUUUAGGCAUUUAAUGCAGAAUUUUUCGAAAAGAUACAAUGGUGACAUAAUUGGACGCAUGUGGGCUGCAGGCAAGACAUAUAGACCUUCAAUGUUUGAGUACCACUUCUCGAAGGUUCUAGAAUCUAGCCAACCUGUGGGCAAGUACUUGCAAGAUUACCAUAAUCUGAAGUGGAUGAGGUCUAGUUUUGACACCGAGAUCAAGUGUGAUUACAUUCAUAACAACCUUGCAGAGACCUUCAACAACUGGAUAAAAGGAACCAAAGAUCUCCCCGUAGAUGUGUUAGAUGACAUGCUUAAUGGAAAGAUAAUGAAACUGGUUGCAACAAGGAGAAAGAUUGGGGAGAAGCUACAAGGACGGAUGUUGCCAGCAGUUGUACAACAAGUGAAUAACAGAACAAGAGGGCUUGGGCACUUGAAAGUUACCAAAUCAAGUAAUUGGAAAGGUGAGGUCAGGGACAUCAACAAAGACAAUUUGAGGCAUGUGGUUAACAUAGAGAAAAGUGAGUGCACGUGCCUUGAGUGGCAGCACACAGGUAAACCAUGUGAACAUGCACUUGUUUUCUUGAUUGGGAAAAGGAACGUGAAGAUGGAAGAUUAUCUUCAUGAGUACUACUCUCUAGAAAGGUUUAGGGCAGCAUAUAUGGGGGUUGUAGAGCCGCUCACAGAUAGAUCGCAAUGGCCUAAUGUUAAGUUAGACUUUGUAUUGCAUGCACCACUCCCCAAAAGUUCCGUAGGAAGAAAAAGAAAGUUGAGAUUUAGAAGUUGCCUUGAAAAGGGAGGAGGACAUUAUAAAAAGAAACCGCCACCAAAAGGUCAAUUAGGAAGCCAAAACAGGUGCAAGAAGUGUAAUCAACUUGGACAUAGGCAAGCUGGUUGCCCAACUAAUGGAGUGAAGAAAAGGAAACCAAAACCUAGAAAGAUAAAACCAAACACCGAAGUUGAUGUUGAAUGUUCAAUCCCAGGAGAUGCUCUCCUACAAGUCAGCCCUCGUCCUGUUACGAGGAGUCAAUCAUCUCUUCGUAGCCCUCUUGGAGAGAUGUCUCCAGUGGCUGUCCCACAAGCUAGUCCUCGACCUACGACGAGGAGUCAAUCAUCUCCUCGUAGCCCUCUUGGAGGGAUGUCUCCAUUGGGUGUCCCACAAGCUAGCCCUCGACCUAUAACGAGGAGUCAAUCAUCUCUUCGUAGCCCUCUUGGAGGUACAUCUUCAUUAGCUGUCCUACAAGGCAGCCCUGGUCCAAUCACAAGGAGGCAACUUCCUAUGGAAACAUGGACUCCCGCUUCUCCAGCAACAGUAGUUGUGCAGGCCGCAAAAAAGCUCACGCCGAGGAAGAGAAAAAGAGUGUAG
rnacentral:rRNA from 1 species